rnacentral:tRNA from 1 species
ACUCUUUUAGUAUAAAAGUAUAAUUGAUUUCCAAUCAAAAGGAUAAUUAAAAUUAAUAGAGUA